rnacentral:rRNA from 1 species
GGGUCUGCGUUUCAUUAGCUAGUUGGUAGGGUAAUGGCCUACCAAGGCAACGAUGAGUAGCUGGUCUGAGAAGAUGAUCAGCCACACUGGAACUGAAACACAGUCCAGACUCCUACGGGAGGCAGCAGUGGGGAAUAUUGCGCAAUGGGCGAAAGCCUGACGCAGCAACGCCGUGUGAGGGAUGAAGGCUUUCGGGUCGUAAACCUCUGUCGGAAGGGAAGAACGGGCAAGGGUCCAAUAGGCCCUUGUUUUGACGGUACCUUUAGAGGAAGCACCGGCUAACUCCGUGCCAGCAGCCGCGGUAAUACGGAGGGUGCAAGCGUUAUUCGGAAUUACUGGGCGUAAAGCGCACGUAGGCCGCUUUGUAAGUCAGGGGUGAAAUCCCACGGCUCAACCGUGGAACUGCCCUUGAAACUGCAGAGCUUGAAUCCUGGAGAGGGUGGCGGAAUUCCUGGUGUAGGAGUGAAAUCCGUAGAUAUCAGGAGGAACACCGGUGGCGAAGGCGGCCACCUGGACGGGUAUUGACGCUGAGGUGCGAAAGUGUGGGGAGCAAACAGGAUUAGAUACCCUGGUAGUCCACACCGUAAACGAUGGACACUAGAUGUCGGAG